CAUCUUCGGGGGUAGAGCACUGUUUCGGCUAGGGGGUCAUCCCGACUUACCAACCCGAUGCAAACUACGAAUACCGAAGAAUGUUAUCACGGGAGACACACGGCGGGUGCUAACGUCCGUCGUGAAGAGGGAAACAACCCAGACCGCCAGCUAAGGUCCCAAAGUCAUGGUUAAGUGGGAAACGAUGUGGGAAGGCACAGACAGCCAGGAUGUUGGCUUAGAAGCAGCCAUCAUUUAAAGAAAGCGUAAUAGCUCACUGGUCGAGUCGGCCUGCGCGGAAGAUGUAACGGGGCUAAACCAUGCACCGAAGCUGCGGCAGCGACACUAUGUGUUGUUGGGUAGGGGAGCGUUCUGUAAGCCUGCGAAGGUGACCUGUGAGGGUUGCUGGAGGUAUCAGAAGUGCGAAUGCUGACAUAAGUAACGAUAAAGCGGGUGAAAAGCCCGCUCGCCGGAAGACCAAGGGUUCCUGUCCAACGUUAAUCGGGGCAGGGUGAGUCGACCCCUAAGGCGAGGCCGAAAGGCGUAGUCGAUGGGAAACAGGUUAAUAUUCCUGUACUUGGUGUUACUGCGAAGGGGGGACGGAGAAGGCUAUGUUAGCCGGGCGACGGUUGUCCCGGUUUAAGCAUGUAGGCUGGUUGUCCAGGCAAAUCCGGAUAAUCAAGGCUGAGGUGUGAUGACGAGGUACUACGGUGCUGAAGUAACAAAUGCCCUGCUUCCAGGAAAAGCCUCUAAGCAUCAGGUAACAUCAAAUCGUACCCCAAACCGACACAGGUGGUCAGGUAGAGAAUACCAAGGCGCUUGAGAGAACUCGGGUGAAGGAACUAGGCAAAAUGGUGCCGUAACUUCGGGAGAAGGCACGCUGGUGUGUAGGUGAAGUCCCUGCGGAUGGAGCUGAGACCAGUCGAAGAUACCAGCUGGCUGCAACUGUUUAUUAAAAACACAGCACUGUGCAAACACGAAAGUGGACGUAUACGGUGUGACGCCUGCCCGGUGCCGGAAGGUUAAUUGAUGGGGUUAUCCGUAAGGAGAAGCUCUUGAUCGAAGCCCCGGUAAACGGCGGCCGUAACUAUAACGGUCCUAAGGUAGCGAAAUUCCUUGUCGGGUAAGUUCCGACCUGCACGAAUGGCGUAAUGAUGGCCAGGCUGUCUCCACCCGAGACUCAGUGAAAUUGAACUCGCUGUGAAGAUGCAGUGUACCCGCGGCAAGACGGAAAGACCCCGUGAACCUUUACUAUAGCUUGACACUGAACAUUGAGCCUUGAUGUGUAGGAUAGGUGGGAGGCUUUGAAGCGUGGACGCCAGUCUGCGUGGAGCCAACCUUGAAAUACCACCCUUUAAUGUUUGAUGUUCUAACGUUGGCCCCUGACCGGGGUUGCGGACAGUGUCUGGUGGGUAGUUUGACUGGGGCGGUCUCCUCCCAAAGCGUAACGGAGGAGCACGAAGGUUAGCUAAUCCUGGUCGGACAUCAGGAGGUUAGUGCAAUGGCAUAAGCUAGCUUGACUGCGAGCGUGACGGCGCGAGCAGGUGCGAAAGCAGGUCAUAGUGAUCCGGUGGUUCUGAAUGGAAGGGCCAUCGCUCAACGGAUAAAAGGUACUCCGGGGAUAACAGGCUGAUACCGCCCAAGAGUUCAUAUCGACGGCGGUGUUUGGCACCUCGAUGUCGGCUCAUCACAUCCUGGGGCUGAAGUAGGUCCCAAGGGUAUGGCUGUUCGCCAUUUAAAGUGGUACGCGAGCUGGGUUUAGAACGUCGUGAGACAGUUCGGUCCCUAUCUGCCGUGGGCGCUGGAGAAUUGAGGGGGGCUGCUCCUAGUACGAGAGGACCGGAGUGGACGCAUCACUGGUGUUCGGGUUGUCAUGCCAAUGGCACUGCCCGGUAGCUAAAUGCGGAAGAGAUAAGUGCUGAAAGCAUCUAAGCACGAAACUUGCCCCGAGAUGAGUUCUCCCUGAGACUU
rnacentral:rRNA from 1 species